CAGGUAUCUGUUUCGCAGCGGAAAUAUUGAGACAAGUGCAGAUAAAUUCUACAACACUACAGUGGAAGUGCUGCCUAGCAAUGCGUCAGCACGAGACACACGGGUGGCUGCUUCGCCUUCUUAUUACAGAGAAUCUGAUAAGGGUUUCAUCAUAAUCGGUGCGUUUGUGGACGGGCUAGCUGCGGGGGACAUUGAAGAAUCACUGCAGCCGAUCUCAGCGCUCCGCCUGCUGGUUCACUCUGACGCUGACGUCUGGGCUCUGCUGAGCGAGAUCCUGAUUCAAGUUUGAUGUUGGCAGCAAAGAGGAAAACACACACACACACGCUGCUUCACCUGAGCAGACUGCUGCCCCUGCUGGACAAAGACUUUCCUUCACAAGGAUUACAUGAAGGGCCUAAAACUGCCCUGGUGGAUUGACUGGAUUGGCCACAUUUCUGUCUCAGAAGCGCUGUUUAAAGACAUUCCACUUGCCUUAGGGCUUGUAAUUAAAACAGACA